CAGUCGCCGCGGUAAUACGUAGGGUGCUAGCGUUGUUCGGAAUUACUGGGCGUAAAGCGCACGUAGGCGGUUCGUUAAGUCUGUUGUGAAAGCCCCGGGCUCAACCUGGGAAUGGCAAUGGAUACUGGCGAGCUAGAGUGUGUCAGAGGAUGGUGGAAUUCCCGGUGUAGCGGUGAAAUGCGUAGAGAUCGGGAGGAACAUCAGUGGCGAAGGCGGCCAUCUGGGACAACACUGACGCUGAGGCACGAAAGCGUGGGGAGCAAUCAGGAUUAGAUACCCCCGUAGUCCCUGUCUCUUAUAC
rnacentral:rRNA from 1 species